UACGUAGGGUGCAAGCGUUGUCCGGAAUUAUUGGGCGUAAAGAGCUCGUAGGCGGUUUGUUGCGUCGGCUGUGAAAUCCCGAGGCUCAACCUCGGGUCUGCAGUCGAUACGAGCAAACUAGAGUGUUGCAGGGGAGACUGGAAUUCCUGGUGUAGCGGUGAAAUGCGCAGAUAUCAGGAGGAACACCGGUGGCGAAGGCGCACAUCUGGCCCGAUACUGACGCUGAAGCGCGAAAGCUAGGGGAGCAAACGGG
rnacentral:rRNA from 1 species